UCAAACUUGGUCAUUUAGAGGAAGUAAAAGUCGUAACAAGGUUUCCGUAGGUGAACCUUCGGAAGGAUCAUUACCGAUGUGCGGGCAACCGCAUGGUAUACCCACCCUUGCAUUUGAGCACUUCUGUUUCCUCGGCAGGUUCGCCUGCCAGCGGGGACUCUCAAACACCUUUGCAGUAGCCGUAUUUGUCUGAAAAACAAGCAAACAAUCAAAACUUUCAACAACGGAUCUCUUGGUUCUGGCAUCGAUGAAGAACGCAGC
rnacentral:misc_RNA from 1 species